rnacentral:rRNA from 1 species
CGAUACGAGUUUGAUCCUGGCUCAGAACGAACGCUGGCGGCAUGCCUAACACAUGCAAGUCGAACGAAGCCUUCGGGCUUAGUGGCGCACGGGUGCGUAACGCGUGGGAAUCUGCCCCUCGGUUCGGAAUAACAGUUAGAAAUGACUGCUAAUACCGGAUGAUGACGAAAGUCCAAAGAUUUAUCGCCGAGGGAUGAGCCCGCGUAGGAUUAGCUUGUUGGUGGGGUAAUGGCCCACCAAGGCGACGAUCCUUAGCUGGUCUGAGAGGAUGAUCAGCCACACUGGGACUGAGACACGGCCCAGACUCCUACGGGAGGCAGCAGUGGGGAAUAUUGGACAAUGGGCGAAAGCCUGAUCCAGCAAUGCCGCGUGAGUGAUGAAGGCCUUAGGGUUGUAAAGCUCUUUUACCAGGGAUGAUAAUGACAGUACCUGGAGAAUAAGCUCCGGCUAACUCCGUG